ACAUGCUUGUGGGCGGCCUCCAGCGGUGUGCCGCUCCCUGAGAGGUGACAGGGAUCCUGGGGGCCAUCGGUCUGGAGCGGGAAUGUGCGAAGUUCUAUGUGGAAAUAAUACAGAGAACGGAGGCGAAGUCUACAUGGGCGCAGCAGCUCGGUCUUUGAGGGAUGGGAUGGGGGAGCGCAGGUGGGACAUUGGGAGUGCUGGGUGGACCGCGGCAUUGGCCGGGUCCGCAUGCGAGCGGGGCCUGGACGUCGGAUGGGAUGGCUCCAGAGCAGUGGGGCACUUGGAGAACCCCGAGGAUUUGCCCAUUGUGGAGACAGUACAAAUAUGCAAAUUUGAACAGGGAGU
rnacentral:lncRNA from 1 species